rnacentral:rRNA from 1 species
UACGGGGGGGGCAAGCGUUGUUCGGAAUUACUGGGCGUAAAGGGCUCGUAGGCGGCCAACUAAGUCGGACGUGAAAUCCCUCGGCUCAACCGGGAGGGUGCGCCGAAAACUGAGGUGCUCGAGUGUGGGAGAGGUAGGCGGAAUUCCUGGUGUAGCGGUGAAAUGCGUAGAUAUCAGGAGGAACACCGGCGGUGUAGACGGCUUACUGGACCAUAACUGACGCUGAGGCACGAAAGUGUGGGGAGCAAACAGG